rnacentral:tRNA from 1 species
UGGGAAGUAGCUCAGUUGGUAGAGUGUUUGUCUACCAUGCCUGAAGCCCUGGNUUCAAUCCCCAGCAUCACAC